UGGGGAAUAUUGCACAAUGGGCGCAAGCCUGAUGCAGCCAUGCCGCGUGUGUGAAGAAGGUCUUCGGAUUGUAAAGCACUUUCGACGGGGACGGAUGAUGACGGUACCCGUAGAAGAAGCCCCGGCUAACUUCGUGCCAG
rnacentral:rRNA from 1 species